rnacentral:rRNA from 1 species
AUGCACGCUGGCGGCGUGCCUAAUCCCUGCAAGUCGCGCGCACGGACGAGAAGCUUGCUUCUCUGAUGUUAGCGGCGGACGGGUGAGUAACACGUGGAUAACCUACCUAUAAGACUGGGAUAACUUCGGGAAACCGGAGCUAAUACCGGAUAAUAUUUUGAACCGCAUGGUUCAAAAGUAAAAGACGGUCUUGCUGUCACUUAUAGAUGGAUCCGCGCUGCAUUAGCUAGUUGGUAAGGUAACGGCUUACCAAGGCAACGAUGCAUAGCCGACCUGAGAGGGUGAUCGGCCACACUGGAACUGAGACACGGUCCAGACUCCUACGGGAGGCAGCAGUAGGGAAUCUUCCGCAAUGGGCGAAAGCCUGACGGAGCAACGCCGCGUGAGUGAUGAAGGUCUUCGGAUCGUAAAACUCUGUUAUUAGGGAAGAACAUAUGUGUAAGUAACUGUGCACAUCUUGACGGUACCUAAUCAGAAAGCCACGGCUAACUACGUG